AUUGAACGCUAGCGGGAUGCUUUACACAUGCAAGUCGAACGGCAGCGCGGACUUCGGUCUGGCGGCGAGUGGCGAACGGGUGAGUAAUGUAUCGGAACGUGCCCAGUAGCGGGGGAUAACUACGCGAAAGCGUAGCUAAUACCGCAUACGCCCUACGGGGGAAAGCAGGGGAUCGUAAGACCUUGCACUAUUGGAGCGGCCGAUAUCGGAUUAGCUAGUUGGUGAGGUAACGGCUCACCAAGGCGACGAUCCGUAGCUGGUUUGAGAGGACGACCAGCCAAACUGGGACUGAGACACGGCCCAGACUCCUACGGGAGGCAGCAGUGGGGAAUUUUGGACAAUGGGGGCAACCCUGAUCCAGCCAUCCCGCGUGUGCGAUGAAGGCCUUCGGGUUGUAAAGCACUUUUGGCAGGAAAGAAACGUCGCGGGCUAAUACCCCGUGGAACUGACGGUACCUGCAGAAUAAGCACCGGCUAACUACGUG
rnacentral:rRNA from 1 species